UACAGAGGUCUCAAGCGUUGUUCGGAUUCAUUGGGCGUAAAGCGCACGUAGGCGGUCUGUUAUGUCGGAUGUGAAAGCCCUUGGCUUAACUGAGGAAGUGCAUCCGAAACUGGCAGGCUAGAGUACUAAAGAGGGUCGCGGAAUUCCCGGUGUAGAGGUGAAAUUCGUAGAUAUCGGGAGGAACACCGGUGGCGAAGGCGGCGACCUGGGCCUGUCCUGACGCUCAGGCGCGAAAGCUAGGGGAGCGAACAGG
rnacentral:rRNA from 1 species